rnacentral:rRNA from 1 species
UGCCGCGUGAGUGAUGAAGGCCUUAGGGUCGUAAAGCUCUUUCGCCAGAGAUGAUAAUGACAGUAUCUGGUAAAGAAACCCCGGCUAACUCCGUGCCAGCAGCCGCGGUAAUACGGAGGGGGUUAGCGUUGUUCGGAAUUACUGGGCGUAAAGCGUACGUAGGCGGAUUAGUCAGUCAGAGGUGAAAUCCCAGGGCUCAACCCUGGAACUGCCUUUGAUACUGCUAGUCUUGAGUUCGAGAGAGGUGAGUGGAAUUCCAAGUGUAGAGGUGAAAUUCGUAGAUAUUUGGAGGAACACCAGUGGCGAAGGCGGCUCACUGGCUCGAUACUGACGCUGAGGUACGAAAGUGUGGGGAGCAAACAGGAUUAGAUACCCUGGUAGUCCACACCGUAAACGAUGAAUGCCAGUCGUCGGGCAGUAUACUGUUCGGUGACACACCUAACGGAUUAAGCAUUCCGCCUGGGGAGUACGGUCGCAAGAUUAAAACUCAAA